rnacentral:rRNA from 1 species
CGAGCGAGCGAUGAAUUUUCGGAUGGAUUGCUGAGCGGCGGACGGGUGAGUAACGCGUGGGUACCUGCCUCAUACAGGGGGAUAACAGUUAGAAAUGACUGCUAAUACCGCAUAAGGCCGCAUGGUAAAAACUCCGGUGGUAUGAGAUGGACCCGCGUCUGAUUAGCUGGUUGGUGGGGUAACGGCCUACCAAGGCGACGAUCAGUAGCCGACCUGAGAGGGUGACCGGCCACAUUGGGACUGAGACACGGCCCAAACUCCUACGGGAGGCAGCAGUGGGGAAUAUUGCACAAUGGGGGAAACCCUGAUGCAGCAACGCCGCGUGAGGAAGAAGUAUUUCGGUAUGUAAAGCUCUAUCAGCAGGGAAGAAAAUGACGGUACCUGACUAAGAAGCCCCGGCUAACUACGUGCCAGCAGCCGCGGUAAUACGUAGGGGGCAAGCGUUAUCCGGAUUUACUGGGUGUAAAGGGAGCGUAGACGGCGAGACAAGUCUGAAGUGAAAGCCCGGGGCUCAACCCCCGGACUGCUUUGGAAACUGCCUUGCUGGAGUGUCGGAGAGGUAAGUGGAAUUCCUAGUGUAGCGGUGAAAUGCGUAGAUAUUAGGAGGAACACCAGUGGCGAAGGCGGCUUACUGGACGAUAACUGACGUUGAGGCUCG